UUCAUUCUUAAUCUUAUCUAACCUGGUGAGCCCGCAUAUCCACCUGAGCAUCCUCAUCCCCGCAACCUUCAUUCUCUCAACAUGAGAGUUCUUCACUGGCCAGCACUCCGCCCCAUACAACAUGGCAGGUUUAACCACAGCUCUAUAAAAUUUCCCCUUGAGUUUUUGUGAAACUUUCUUGUCACACAGGACUCCUGAUGCAAGCCUCCACUUUGAC
rnacentral:lncRNA from 1 species